GUCACCUUAAAACAGUCGUUGCUCGCUGUAGCAGCGUCCUCAAGAUUCACAUGCAGUCUAAAGGCAAAAGCAGCAAUUUUUCUUCAUUUUUGCUUGCCUUGGUUUUUGUCAGUGAGAAUCUUGAUGAUGCUGCAACGGCGAUUAAUGACUAGCUACCAACAA
rnacentral:pre_miRNA from 1 species